rnacentral:rRNA from 1 species
CCUACGGGUGGCAGCAGUGAGGAAUAUUGGUCAAUGGACGAGAGUCUGAACCAGCCAAGUAGCGUGAAGGAUGACUGCCCUAUGGGUUGUAAACUUCUUUUAUAUGGGAAUAAAAUGUUCCACGUGUGGGAUUUUGUCUGUACCAUAUGAAUAAGGAUCGGCUAACUCCGUGCCAGCAGCCGCGGUAAUACGGAGGAUCCGAGCGUUAUCCGGAUUUAUUGGGUUUAAAGGGAGCGUAGGUGGAUUGUUAAGUCAGUUGUGAAAGUUUGCGGCUCAACCAUAAAAUUGCAGUUGAAACUGGCAGUCUUGAGUACAGUAGAGGUGGGCGGAAUGCGUGGUGUAGCGGUGAAAUGCUUAGAUAUCACGAAGAACUCCGAUUGCGAAGGCAGUUCACUGGACUGCAACUGACACUGAGGCUCGAAAGUGUGGGUAUCAAACAGGAUUAGAUACCCCGGUAGUC